rnacentral:rRNA from 1 species
UGCGUAGGCGGCUUUGCAAGUCAGAUGUGAAAUCUAUGGGCUCAACCCAUAAACUGCAUUUGAAACUGUAGAGCUUGAGUGAAGUAGAGGCAGGCGGAAUUCCCCGUGUAGCGGUGAAAUGCGUAGAGAUGGGGAGGAACACCAGUGGCGAAGGCGGCCUGCUGGGCUUUAACUGACGCUGAGGCAAGCGUGGGUAGCAAACA